AGUUUCAGCAACUAACUGAUUCUCAACUCGUCUUAUCGACCUCUCAAGUGGAGGAUUUGAGGGAGUUGAAAUUGGAAACCUUAGUGCAGGCGCCUUCCACGGCGAUAUUAUCGGAGAACGAUCAGUGUGUAGGUUCACAGGAUAAUUCACCUUUAGAAACGCAUGUGGAAGCUGAAUUCAAGAGGCAAGAUGGGGUGUCACAUGCAAAAGUUUUGGGAAGUGCAACAACCCAGGGGGCUGGAGCUCAGAUCCAAAAUGAGCUUCAAUCUUCUAUAUGCUCAACUUCUUUGUCAAAACUUUCACCAACUUCUGUUACCCAACUGAUUUCAUCUGCUUCAGAUCCAACUUUACCAGAACCAAGACUGUCACCAUCCAAGGCUUAUAAUGCAUCUACACAAGAAGCUGAUAGACAAAAUUCUUCUGAUCUUAAAAGUCUCUCUGCUCCCAUUGUGAAAACACGUAUCCCUGAUGCUUACAACUGGCGGAAAUAUGGUCAGAAGCAAGUGAAGAGUCCUAAAGGUUCUCGAAGUUAUUACAAGUGCACAUUUUCUGACUGUUGUGCCAAAAAGAUUGAAUGCGCAGAUCAUUCAGGCCAUGUGAUCGAGAUUGUUAAUAAAGGAACGCACAGUCAUGAUCCACCUCGAAAGAAUAAGCACACCAGGGAAAUCAAGGUUGCAUUAUCAUCUGGGCCUGUUUUGAGCAAUAGUUUAACAGAACAUUCUGUUAAUGUACUUAAGGAUUUGGAUCAGGCCACAUUGCCGAAAGAAUCUAUGCAGGAAACACCCAUGAUUCCUGACAAAAAACGGCAGAGUUCAAGUGGCUCUGAUGGGAAUGGGAGAAUUCAAAUCAAAGAGGAGCAUGUCAGUGAGCCUGAACCAAAACGAAGAGUGAAGAAGGAGAACUUAGAAUGUUCAGGUACUAUCCUAAAACCUGGAAAGAAGCCAAAAUUUGUUGUGCAUGCAGCAGGUGAUGUGGGAAUCUCAGGUGAUGGGUACAGAUGGCGCAAAUAUGGACAAAAAAUGGUGAAGGGAAAUCCCCAUCCCAGGAACUAUUAUAGAUGCACAUCUGCUGGAUGCCCUGUUCGUAAGCACAUUGAAACAGCAGUAGGUAACACAAACGCAGUCGUUAUAACCUACAAGGGAGUACAUGAUCAUGACAUGCCCGUACCAAAAAAGCGACACGGUCCGCCUAGUGCUCCCCUUGUAGCUGCCGCUGCUCCUGCUUCUAUGAACAAUUUGCAACUCAAGAAAACGGAUACAUUACAGAAACAAGUAACUUCAACCCAGUGGUCAGUGGGAAAGGAAGGUGAGUUAACCAGUGAAACCUUAGACCUCGGAGGUGAGAAGGAGAAAGCAAUGGAAUCAGCCCGAACUCUUCUAAGCAUUGGAUUUGAAAUCAAGCCUUGCUGAUAGACCCUUUCUCUAGACUAUGGCAAGAUGAAAAGAUUAUCUAUGCACAGGCUUCCAUUGAAAAUCGCGUAGCUGUUUAGGUUUGAAUUAUCAGGUUUGAUUUGAUUUUAUUUUUUUUCUCCUUAUUCUCUCUUUCUUUUUUCAGACAUUUGCAUAUUUGGUAUUGUACACAAUCAGGAAGCGUUUGGAACAUAGUAAGCUGAUAGUAUUGGAACAUAGAAUUGGUUGGCACCAAUUUUUCCCUCUCUUGGUUGGGACCCAUUUCAAUAUCUCCAUUUUAGGAGCGGCUUCUCAUAUGUUUGCCACAGAUUUGCAAGUGUUAUUAAGAUGGGCAGUUGAUAGCUUUAAAAGUUAGGUGAUGAAAUUGGUCGAACAGGGAAGCAGCAAAUCUGUUGAA
rnacentral:misc_RNA from 1 species